GACGACGACGUUGAUAGGUCGGGUGUGUAAGUGCAGCGAUGCAUUGAGCUAACCGAUACUAAUGAACCGUGAGGCUUAACCUUA
rnacentral:rRNA from 1 species